UACGGGGGGGGCAAGCGUUGUUCGGAAUUACUGGGCGUAAAGGGCUCGUAGGCGGCCAACUAAGUCGGACGUGAAAUCCCUCGGCUUAACCGGGGAACUGCGUCCGAUACUGGAUGGCUUGAGUUUGGGAGAGGGAUGCGGAAUUCCAGGUGUAGCGGUGAAAUGCGUAGAUAUCCGGAGGAACACCAGUGGCGAAAGCGGCCACCUGGACUGUACCUGACGCUCAAACGCGAAAGCUAGGGGAGCGAACGGG
rnacentral:rRNA from 1 species